AUUUGGGGGAAUGAGUUAUAUAUUGAAAUAUAAAUAUAUACGCAUCGACUAUGUCGUAUAAAGUUCUAAAUAGAAGAUUGAUUAUGACAGAUUUCUAUUUAUGUGUCUCGACCAAUUCUUGUGCCAGCAGUCGCGGCAACACAAGCGAGACUAGUGUUAUUCAUCUUUAUUAGGUUUAAAGGGUACCUAGACGGUAUUUUCAGCCUGUGCAGGGUACAAAAAUACUAGAGUUUUAUUUGAGAGGUAAAUAUUAGGACUAUUGGUGUAAAGAUGAAAUUUUUUGAUACUAAUGGGACGGAUAACGGCGAAGGCAAUCCUCUAUAUAUGAACUGACGUUAAGGGACGAAGGCUUGGGGAGCGAAUAGGAUUAGAUACCCUAGUAGUCCAGGCAGAAAAUUAUGAAUGUUAUAGACCAAGAAAAAAUUGGUGUGUAAUGAAAGUGUAAGCAUUCCACCUCAAGAGUAAUGUGGCAACGCAGGAACUGAAAUCAU
rnacentral:rRNA from 1 species